UACGAAGGGGGCUAGCGUUGCUCGGAAUCACUGGGCGUAAAGCGCACGUAGGCGGACUCUUAAGUCAGGGGUGAAAUCCUGGAGCUCAACUCCAGAACUGCCCUUGAUACUGGGAGCCUAGAGUUCGGGAGAGGUGAGUGGAACUGCGAGUGUAGAGGUGAAAUUCGUAGAUAUUCGCAAGAACACCAGUGGCGAAGGCGGCUCACUGGCCCGAUACUGACGCUGAGGUGCGAAAGCGUGGGGAGCAAACAGG
rnacentral:rRNA from 1 species